AUAAAGUUUGAUUCUUUCUUAAGAAUUUAUUGAAAAUUUAGUUAUACAUGUAAGUAUUUGCAAGAAUAAUAUAAUAUUUUGAAAAUUAUUAUAUUAAUAAUUUAUAUUCGCAGUAGAAAAAUUUAUUUAUUAUAGAAAUAUAGAUUUAGUAAUAUUUUAUAUUAUUAGCAAAAAUUGUGCCAGCAGCUGCGGUUAUACAAUUAAUAAAAGUAAAUUUUAUAAGUUAAUAGUUAAAUUUAAUAAAGAUUUAAAGUUUAUAAUUUUAAGGUGAAAUUUAUUUUAUAAUUUAAAGGUUAUAAAAAUUAUUGAAGCUGUGUAAAUUAAAUAUAAAAACUAGGAUUAGAUACCCUAUUAUUUUAAUAAAUUGUAUGGCUUAAGUAGUAGUAGUUAUAUUCUUGAAACUUAAAGAAUUUGGCGGUAUUUUAAUCUAGUCAGAGGAACCUGUUCUAUAAUCGAUAUUCCACGUUAAAUUUUACUAAAUUUUAUUAUUUGUAUAUCGUUGUCGAAAGAAUAUUUUUAUAAAAUAUAAAUUUUCUAAUAUUUUUAUUUAAAUAAAUGUCAAAUCAAGGUGCAGUUAAUGGUUUAGUAGAAAUGGGUUACAAUAAAAAUAUUUAAAUGGAGUUUUAAUUGAAAUAUUGAAAUGAAGGAGGAUUUGAUAGUAAAUUAGUUUUUAAAAAAAUUAAUUGAUCUUAGUUCUAAAAUAUGUACAUAUUGCCCGUCGCUCUUUUUAUUUUUUAAAAAAAGAUAAGUCGUAACAAAGUAGGUGUACCGGAAGGUGUACCUAGAAAGAC
rnacentral:ncRNA from 1 species